rnacentral:rRNA from 1 species
GACGAACGCUGGCGGCGUGCUUAACACAUGCAAGUCGAACGGAAAGGCCCUGCUUUUGUGGGGUGCUCGAGUGGCGAACGGGUGAGUAACACGUGAGUAUCCUGCCCUUGACUUUGGGAUAACUUCAGGAAACUGGGGCUAAUACCGGAUAGGAGCUCCUGCUGCAUGGUGGGGGUUGGAAAGUUUCGGCGGUUGGGGAUGGACUCGCGGCUUAUCAGCUUGUUGGUGGGGUAGUGGCUUACCAAGGCUUUGACGGGUAGCCGGCCUGAGAGGGUGACCGGCCGCAUUGGGACUGAGAUACGGCCCAGACUCCUACGGGAGGCAGCAGUGGGGAAUAUUGCACAAUGGGCGGAAGCCUGAUGCAGCAACGCCGCGUGCGGGAUGACGGCCUUCGGGUUGUAAACCGCUUUCGCCUGUGACGAAGCGUGAGUGACGGUAAUGGGUAAAGAAGCACCGGCUAACUACGUG